UACAGAGGGGGCAAGCGUUGUUCGGAAUUACUGGGCGUAAAGGGCGCGUAGGCGGCCUGCUAAGUCGAACGUGAAAUCCCCGAGCUCAACUCGGGAACUGCGUCCGAUACUGGCAGGCUUGAAUCCGGGAGAGGGAUGCGGAAUUCCAGGUGUAGCGGUGAAAUGCGUAGAUAUCUGGAGGAAUACCGGUGGCGAAGGCGGCAUCCUGGACCGAGAUUGACGCUGAGGAGCGAAAGCUAGGGGAGCAAACGGG
rnacentral:rRNA from 1 species